UAAUACGAAGGACCCGAGCGUUAUCCGGAUUCAUUGGGUUUAAAGGGUGCGUAGGCGGAAUGGUAAGUCAGUGGUGAAAUCCUGCGGCUUAACUGCAGAACUGCCAUUGAUACUGCCAAUCUUGAGUACAUUUGAUGUGGGCGGAAUGUGCCAUGUAGUGGUGAAAUACUUAGAUAUGGCACAGAACACCGAUCGCGAAGGCAGCUCACAAAACUGUAACUGACGCUGAGGCACGAAAGCGUGGGGAUCAAACAGGAUUAGAUACCCUGGUAGUCCACGCCUUAAACUAUGAUUACUCGAUGUGUGCGAUACACAGUACGCGUCUAAGCGAAAGCGUUAAGUAAUCCACCUGGGGAGUACGGUCGCAAGAUUG
rnacentral:rRNA from 1 species